CCAAGAUUACAGCUAAACUAGGACUUGAACCCAUGUCCGUCUGAAGUCCGAGCUGAAACUUUGGCCACUAAAUUGCCCUGUCUCACUACAGAGAAUUAAUCUUGAAUUGUGCUAGUUUUGAAUUAUGUGAGGCCUUUGGGAAUAGGCCUACAUCCCUCGCAAGAAAAUUAAUCACCCUAUAAAUGACUUAACCCGCCUCUCAGGGCUUUGCGGUGGAGACUGAAUGCAAGAAUGCAAAUUAAGUGAGUAAAAACCCGCAUCCGCAAUACCUGAGUUUGCCCCCCUCUCCUAAGUGAGUAAACCCUACUCCAAAGUGGC